rnacentral:rRNA from 1 species
UUAGAGUUUGAUCCUGGCUCAGGACGAACGCUGGCGGCGUGCCUAAUACAUGCAAGUCGAACGCGUCUUGGUUAAUGAUGUUAGGUGCUUGCAUUUAACUGAUUUAACAUUGAGACGAGUGGCGAACUGGUGAGUAACACGUGGGUAACCUGCCCUGAAGUGGGGGAUAACACUUGGAAACAGGUGCUAAUACCGCAUAACAACGAAAACCACAUGGUUUUCGUUUGAAAGAUGGCUUCGGCUGUCACUUUCGGAUGGACCCGCGGCGUAUUAGCUUGUUGGUGAGGUAACGGCUCACCAAGGCCAUGAUACGUAGCCGACCUGAGAGGGUAAUCGGCCACAUUGGGACUGAGACACGGCCCAAACUCCUACGGGAGGCAGCAGUAGGGAAUCUUCCACAAUGGACGAAAGUCUGAUGGAGCAACGCCGCGUGAGUGAUGAAGGGUUUCGGCUCGUAAAACUCUGUUGUUGGAGAAGAACAGGUGAUAGAGUAACUGUUAUCAUCUUGACGGUAUCCAACCAGAAAGCCACGGCUAACUACGUGCCAGCAGCCGCGGUAAUACGUAGGUGGCAAGCGUUGUCCGGAUUUAUUGGGCGUAAAGCGAGCGCAGGCGGUUUUUUAGGUCUGAUGUGAAAGCCUUCGGCUUAACCGGAGAAGGGCAUCGGAAACCGGGAGACUUGAGUGCAGAAGAGGACAGUGGAACUCCAUGUGUAGCGGUGAAAUGCGUAGAUAUAUGGAAGAACACCAGUGGCUAAGGCGGCUGUCUGGUCUGUAACUGACGCUGAGGCUCGAAAGCAUGGGUAGCGAACAGGAUUAGAUACCCUGGUAGUCCAUGCCGUAAACGAUGAGUGCUAAGUGUUUGGAGGGUCUCCGCCCUUCAGUGCUGCAGCUAACGCAUUAAGCACUCCGCCUGGGGGAGUACGACCGCAAGGUUGAACUCAAAAGGGAAUUGACGGGGGCCCGCACAAGCGGUGGAACCAUGUGGGUUUAAUUCGAUGCAACGCGAAGAACCUCACCAGGUCUUGACAUCCUAUGCCA